CCACCAGUCACUCAGCGAUCUUGCUAAAAUGCAGGUUCUGAUGGAAGAUAUCUGGGGCCUAAGAUUCUGCAUUUCUAACAAGCUCUCAAGUGACCUUGAU
rnacentral:pre_miRNA from 1 species